CAGGGCUUCAACUGUGAUUGGUAAACAUAGACUUAGGAGAAGGCACAGGAAGUGAUGCAAGAGAAAUUGUCUUUAAAAGGGAGUUACAAUUUCCUAAAGGGUUUCAGCUUGGAGUUCUACUUGGAGUGGAGGCUGAAGAUAAUCUGCUGACUGGACCGGAGACCCUGUUCCUGAUAAGGAAAAGGAGAAUUUGUGAGAUUAAGCGACUUUCCCCAAGUUGA
rnacentral:lncRNA from 1 species